CCGGGCCCCUCGAGUGAAAAUACCAGCCCUCACCACUCCGCAGUCUGCCCCCCAGCCCACUGAUAGCAACCAUCAUAAUGCCCCACCCAGCUCCCGGCACCUUUCGCCACUCCGGCACAAACCAACACAGCUUUGCGAUCUCGCCAGCAUGCAGAGUCUGAUGUCUUCCCUAUAGAUGAUUCCAGAGACUCUGUGAGGCCACUAUUACAAGGUGAGACGCUUUGCGUUGAUUGGUGCUGCUGAACCACACUGGAGGUGCGAGUCCGCCGUGUAAUGGUUUAUGCCAUUACAAAGGAGCUGGCCUCUGUACUCAACUGGGCAGGGGAAAAAAACAAGGACCAGACAAAGCAAAAAAGGGCAUUUAAAGAGACAGCGCUGUGCAGAUGCAUAUUUGAUGGCCUGGCGCAGCAGGUAGGGGCGAACUCUAUGUCUGAGUUGGUCUUUGCUCAAGCAGUCCAGAAAUGGCUCAGAUAUGAUCCAGAUCGUACGGGUGGCACGCAGGACGCACAUCAUCCAUCCCCAUCCCGGAGUAAAUAAUAAAAAGUGACGUGAAACAUAGAAAUGUAAAUAGGAAACUUUGUCUUUUAAUAAAGUAUUUUGC